UCACAUCACCUUUCACUGCCCACUGUCUCCUCCCCGGCCCUUCCCCCAUCGCCCUCGGCCCUCGCUGCUCUGGCCUCCCCUUCUCCAAUUAAUACUCACCCCAACCUCUUCCUCCCGCCUCCCUCCCCCUCCACCCCAAGCCCACCUCCCGCUUCCUCACAAAGAGGGCCAGCAUGCGGUGAGCGAGCGAGCGAUCUGUCGUCGUCUAUUUCGCGUGAUCUCCGGCGAUCUUGGAGGCGAGGCCGUUCCGGUCUGGCUGGGCGGCUAGGUCCGUCUCGAGGAGAAGAAGGGAGCAAAGCGAGGUGAAGUGAGAUGGACCUGGUGCCGCACCCGGACAGCCCGCACUCCGACAACAGCGGCGGUGGCGCGGCGGCGGGGUCCGUGUCGUCGGUGGCGUCGUCGGCUGCGGGGGCGGUGGCGUCGCCGAGCCGGUACGAGUCGCAGAAGCGCCGAGACUGGAACACGUUCGGGCAGUACCUGCGGAACCACCGCCCGCCGCUCUCCCUCGCGCGGUGUAGCGGCGCGCACGUGCUCGAGUUCCUGCGCUACCUCGACCAGUUCGGCAAGACCAAGGUGCACAUGCCCGCGUGCCCCUUCUUCGGCCACCCGGCGCCGCCCGCGCCCUGCCCGUGCCCGCUGCGCCAGGCGUGGGGCAGCCUCGACGCGCUCGUGGGCAGGCUGCGCGCCGCCUACGAGGAGAACGGCGGGCGGCCCGAGAACAACCCCUUCGGCGCGCGCGCCGUCAGGCUCUACCUCCGCGAGGUCCGCGACCACCAGUCCCGCGCGCGCGGCGUCAGCUACGAGAAGAAGAAGCGCAAGAAGUCCGCGGCGCACCCUGCCGUCCCCGCCGCCGUCAUCUCCUCUUCCUCCCAUGACGGCAACGGCCAACACCACCUGCCUCCGCCGCCGCCGCCCGGCGCCGCGGCGUGACCAUCCAUGUCCAAGAACGCCGGAGCUGCUUGCGCGCCUUCACCCACCCACGCGGCCGCGCCCCAUGUGUGCUGCCGCGUGCACUACUCGCCUCCAUCGAUCUCUAGGCUCUAGCUAGCUCCUCAUCUACUACUACUACCACCAUCUCUAGCGAGUUCUUCUUGCUACAAUCCCUAGCUACUCUAGCAGUCUAGCUACGACUAGUUCAUGGACUACUGCUACAAGUUAGUCACUUCCUCUUUCAUGCCUGUUACUGGUAUUAUUAUCGCUACUGGCACUGCUACUGCCUCCUUAAUUAGAUCAGGUAGCUGGUGUGAUGUUCUUGUAGUUCUUGCGUUCUUGCCACAAGUAGUAGGUGGUGUGAUGCGUUGAGUCAUGCCAGCUUCUAUCGUCCUCGCUUGGAAUCAACGUACUGCUGAUGAGGGUCAAGGAUGGAUGGAUUCAAAGGUCCAUGGCCUGCAGCCAGCGAUGGCGAUGCUGUGUGCUAGCCUGCUAGGCUGCUUCUGCUGCUGCUCUUUUGGGGCUCUUUUGCAUUGCUUUUUAUGGUACUUGUAUUGCUCAUACCAUAAGUAGCUAGGGUUGCCUGGUCAUCAUGGGUGCCUGCCAUGGAGACCACCGACUGGAAUGUAUGCAUAUAUAGUAGAAGCAGAUUACUAGCUUCUAAUCAUGAAGGUUUGGUUCGUGUGUGUUCAGUGGCCGAAUUUGAGGAUAAUGAGAUCAGUUUAUGCUCUUCAUGUGUUGUUUGAUGUAUUAGU